ACAAUUUCAAGAUCCAGUACAGAGGCAGAGUACAAAGCAUUGGCUAAUGCAACAGCAGAGAUCAUAUGGGUACAGUCAAUCUUAAAGGAACUUGGUAUAAGAAGCACUAGAGCUCCAUGUUUGUGGUGUGACAAUCUAGGAGCUACCUAUCUGUCAGCAAAUCCAGUCUUUCAUGCUAAAACCAAGCACAUUGAAAUAGAUUUUCACUUUGUUCGAGAAAGAGUUGCAAAUAAGCUUUUGGAUAUUCGGUUCAUUCAUUCUCAAGACCAAGUUGCUGAUGGUUUUACCAAAGCAUUGCCUACAAGAAGUUUUGAAGACUUCAAGCAUAAUCUCAACCUAACGAAGUUGUGA
rnacentral:rRNA from 1 species